rnacentral:tRNA from 3 species
CGCUAAGAAGCUAAACCGGGAAUAGCAUUAGCCUUUUAAGCUAAAGAUUGGUGACCCCCAACCACCCCUAGCGA